CUAGUAAAAAUAUAAAAAAGUAGCCAGGCAUGGUGGCACGUGCCUGUAAUUCCAGCUAUUCGGGAGGCUGAGGCAGAAGAAUCGCUUGAACCCAGGAGGCAGAGGUGGCAGUGAGCCAACAUCUCACCAUUUCACUCCAGCCUGGGCAACAAGAGCGAAACUCUGUCUCAAAAAAAA